rnacentral:rRNA from 1 species
CCCCUAAAUACUGAUGCAAGGCUGAGCGAAUGGAUUUAGAGCUUUGCCCUUUAUGAAGAUUGCGGCGGACGGGUGAGAUACACGUUGGGUUACCUUGCCCAUAGACUGGGAUACUCGGGAAACCGGGGCUAUACCGGAUACAUUUUGAACCGCAUGGUUCGAAAUUGAAAGGCGGCUUCGGCUGUCACUUAUGGAUGGACCCGCGUCGCAUUAGCUAGUUGGUGAGGUAACGGCUCACCAAGGCAACGAUGCGUAGCCGACCUGAGAGGGUGAUCGGCCACACUGGGACUGAGACACGGCCCAGACUCCUACGGGAGGCAGCAGUAAAGGGAAAUUUCUUUUCCGCCAAUUUGGACCGGAAAAGUCUCCGGACCGGAGCCAACCCCCCCGCCCUGAAUGGAAUGAAAGGCCUUUUCCGGGUUCCGUAAAAAACUCUUUGUUUGGUUAAGGGAAAAGAAACCAAAGGGCCUAAGGUUGAAAUAAAGCUGGGCACCCCUUGACCGGUAUCCUUAAACCAAGAAAAGGCCACCGGGCUAAAAUUACCGUGGCCAGGCAGGCCGCCGGUAAAUAACGUAAGGUGGGCCAAGGCGUUAUUCCCGGAAAUUAAUUGGGGCGUAAAAGGCGCGGCGCCAGGUGGGUUUUCUUUAAAGUUCUGAUGGGGAAAAGCCCACCCGGCUUCAAACCGUGGAAGGGUUCAUUUGGAAAACUGGGAGGACCUUGAGGUGAAGAAAGAAGGAAAAGUGGAAAUUUCCAUGUUGUAGGCGGGUGAAAAUGGCGUAGAGAUAAUGGAGGGAAAACCCAGUGGGCGAAGGCGGACCUUUCUUGGUUCUGUAAACUGACCACUGAGGGCGCGAAAAGCGUGGGGGAGCAAACCAGGAUUAGAAUACCCUGGUAGUCCAACGCCGUAAAACGAAGAAGUGCUAAAGUUGUUAGAAGGGGUUUCCGGCCCUUAAGUGCUGAAAGGUAAACGCCAUAAAGCACUUCCGCCUGGGGGAGUACGGCCGCAAAGGCUGAAAAUCAAAAGGAAAUGGACGGGGGCCCGCACAAAGCCGGUGGAAGCCAUGUGGGUUAAAUUCGAAACAAAGCGAAAAACCUUACCAGGUUCUGGACAUCCUCUGACAAACCUAGAGAAAGGGCUUCUCCUUCGGGAGCAGAAUGACAGGUGGGGCCAUGGGUGUCGUCAAGCUCGGUUGUCGGGAAAGUGGGGUAAAUCCCGCAAACAGAACGCAACCCUGGAUCUUAGUUGCCAUCCAUUAAUUGGGCCCUCUAAAGGGGACCGCCGGGAGCAAACCCGGGGAAAGGUGGGGGAGGCGUCAAAAUCUCCAGGCCCUUUUGGCCUGGGGUUCCCCCCUGGUUCAAAGGGCGGGUCAAAAAAGGUGCAAAGGCCCCGGGGGGGGGGUAAUUUUAAAAAACCCUUUUCAAUUUGGGUUGUUGGGUGCAAAUUGCCUACCAGAAAGGCGAAAUGGUUGAAAUGCGGGUCAAGCCAGGCGCGGGGAAACCUUUCCGGGCCUUGGUCCCCCCCGCCGUCCCCCCCCGGGAGUUUGAAACCCCCCAAAGUUGGUGGGGAAACCCUUUUGAAGCCAAGCCGCCUUAUGGUGGGGCACAAGGUAGGUUGGGGAAUCGUCAUAAACA